rnacentral:rRNA from 1 species
CAUUUUGGGCGAGACCUCCGGGAACUGGAGCUAAUCUCUGAUAGGUGAGGACUCCUGGAAUGGAUCCUUGCCCAAAAGGCGUUUAGAUCAUGCUUCUAGGCGCUGCCCAAGGAUGGGGCCGCGGCCGAUCAGGUUGUUGGUGAGGUAACGGCUCACCAAGCCUGUAACCGGUACGGGCCGUGAAAGCGGUAGCCCGGAGAUGGGUACUGAGACAAGGACCCAGGCCCUACGGGGCGCAGCAGUCGCGAAACCUUCGCAAUAAGCGAAAGCUUGACGGGGUUAUCCCGAGUGCCAUCCGCUGAGGGUGGCUUUUACCUAGUAUAGAUAGCUGGGGGAAUAAGGAGAGGGCAAGUCUGGUGUCAGCCGCCGCGGUAAUACCAGCUCUCCGAGUGGUGGGGACGCUUACUGGGCCUGAAGCAUCCGUAGCUGGCUGAGCAAGUCCCCUGUUAAAUCCAGCGAUUUGAUCGUUGGAUUGCGGGGGAUACUGUCCGGCUAUGGGGCGGGAGAGGCCGACGGUAUUCCCGGGGUAGGGGUGAAAUCUUAUAAUCCCGGGAGGACCACCAGUGGCGAAGGCUGUUGGCUAGAACGCGCCCGACGGUGAGGGAUGAAAGCUGGGGGAGCGAACCGGAUUAGAUACCCGGGUAGUCCCAGCUGUAAACGAUGCAGGCUAGGUGUCAGCGCGGCUACGUGCCGCUCUGGUGCCGCAGGAAAGCUGUUAAGCCUGCCGCCUGGGGAGUACGGCCGCAAGGCUGAAACUUAAAGGAAUUGGCGGGGGAGCAC